rnacentral:rRNA from 1 species
AUUGAACGCUGGCGGCAGGCCUAACACAUGCAAGUCGAACGGUAACAGAAAGCAGCUUGCUGCUUUGCUGACGAGUGGCGGACGGGUGAGUAAUGUCUGGGAAACUGCCUGAUGGAGGGGGAUAACUACUGGAAACGGUAGCUAAUACCGCAUAACGUCGCAAGACCAAAGAGGGGGACCUUCGGGCCUCUUGCCAUAGGAUAUGCCCAGAUGGGAUUAGCUAGUAGGUGGGGUAAAGGCUCACCUAGGCGACGAUCCCUAGCUGGUCUGAGAGGAUGACCAGCCACACUGGAACUGAGACACGGUCCAGACUCCUACGGGAGGCAGCAGUGGGGAAUAUUGCGCAAUGGGCGCAAGCCUGAUGCAGCCAUGCCGCGUGUAUGAAGAAGGCCUUCGGGUUGUAAAGUACUUUCAGCGGGGAGGAAGGGUGUAAAGUUAAUACCUUUGCUGAUUGACGUUACCCGCAGAAGAAGCACCGGCUAACUCCGUG